ACGAGGGGGGCAAGCGUUGUUCGGAAUUAUUGGGCGUAAAGGGUGCGUAGGUGGUUCGGCAAGUCUUGUGUGAAAUCUUCAGGCUCAACUUGAAGUCUGCACAAGAAACUGCCGGGCUUGAGUAUGGGAGAGGUGAGUGGAAUUUCCGGUGUAGCGGUGAAAUGCGUAGAUAUCGGAAGGAACACCUGUGGCGAAAGCGGCUCACUGGACCAUUACUGACACUGAGGCACGAAAGCUAGGGGAGCAAACAGGAUUAGAUACCCUGGUAGUCCUAGCCCUAAACGAUGAUCGCUUGGUGUGGCGGGUAUCCAACCCUGCCGUGCCGAAGCUAACGCGUUAAGCGAUCCGCCUGGGGAGUACGGUCGCAAGGCUG
rnacentral:rRNA from 1 species